rnacentral:rRNA from 1 species
CCUACGGGUGGCUGCAGUCGAGAAUCUUCGGCAAUGGGCGCAAGCCUGACCGAGCGAUGCUGCGUGCUGGAUGAAGGUCUUCGGAUUGUAAACAGCUGUUGGGGGGGAUGAAAUGUAUGGGAGCAAUCUCCUGUAUUUGACAGAGCCCCAGAGAAAGCGCGGGCUAAGUUCGUGCCAGCAGCCGCGGUAAUACGAACUGCGCGAACGUUAUUCGGAUUCACUGGGCUUAAAGGGUGCGUAGGUGGACGAUUAAGUGGGAUGUGAAAUCUUGCGGCUCAACCGUAAGGCUGCAUUUCAUACUGGUCGUCUUGAGUAAGUCAGGGGUGUGUGGAACUGCCAGUGGAGCGGUGAAAUGUGUUGAUAUUGGCAGGAACGCCGGUGGCGAAAGCGACACACUGGGGCUUAACUGACGCUGAGGCACGAAAGCCAGGGGAGCAAACGGGAUUAGAUACCCUAGUAGUC